GCUCCUGGGUGACGAGCGGCGGACGGGUGAGUAAUGUCUGGGAAACUGCCCGAUGGAGGGGGAUAACUACUGGAAACGGUAGCUAAUACCGCAUAACGUCUUCGGACCAAAGUGGGGGACCUUCGGGCCUCACACCAUCGGAUGUGCCCAGAUGGGAUUAGCUAGUAGGUGAGGUAAUGGCUCACCUAGGCGACGAUCCCUAGCUGGUCUGAGAGGAUGACCAGCCACACUGGAACUGAGACACGGUCCAGACUCCUACGGGAGGCAGCAGUGGGGAAUAUUGCACAAUGGGCGCAAGCCUGAUGCAGCCAUGCCGCGUGUGUGAAGAAGGCCUUCGGGUUGUAAAGCACUUUCAGCGAGGAGGAAGGGUUCGGUGUUAAUAGCACCGUUCAUUGACGUUACUCGCAGAAGAAGCACCGGCUAACUCCGUGCCAGCAGCCGCGGUAAUACGGAGGGUGCAAGCGUUAAUCGGAAUUACUGGGCGUAAAGCGCACGCAGGCGGUUUGUUAAGUCAGAUGUGAAAUCCCCGAGCUUAACUUGGGAACUGCAUUUGAAACUGGCAAGCUAGAGUCUUGUAGAGGGGGGUAGAAUUCCAGGUGUAGCGGUGAAAUGCGUAGAGAUCUGGAGGAAUACCGGUGGCGAAGGCGGCCCCCUGGACAAAGACUGACGCUCAGGUGCGAAAGCGUGGGGAGCAAACAGGAGUAGAUACCCUGGUAGUCCACGCUGUAAACGAUGUCGACUU
rnacentral:rRNA from 1 species